UCUUCAUUUCACACACUUUCUCACCGGUCAGAGAGGCGAGAGAGGAGAGUGUGUGAAAUGAAGAGA
rnacentral:pre_miRNA from 1 species